GUCAGGAUGUCUGAGCUGCGUGUCUGUGCGUUUGUGUUUGAUAAUAAAACCUUCCUCCAAGUGGCCCAAGGAAGAGGAUUCUUUACCUUUAUUUUAAUUUAAUUAAUUUAUUUAUUUGGUACCGGGGAUCAAACUGGGGACCUUGCACUUGCAAGGCAGGCAGCGGCACCACUGAGCUAAAUCCCCGGCCCUUAAUUUUAUUUUUGAGACAAGAGUCUUGGUAUAUAGUCCUGGCUGGCCUUGCACUAAUCCAAGUCCCUGCCUCAGACCCCCGAGUGCUGCGAUUAUGGGGUGCAUCACUACUCCUGGCUUCUUCCAGUAUUUGGAAAGAUUUUAUCACAACCAAGUGGAAGCAGCUCUUGGCAGAGCCGUGGAUUCAGUCUGCAUCUGGCAUCCCAGCCCAUCUCUGUUGGCCACAAAGCUCUUUACGAAGUUGCAGGAUUGGUUUCCGGUGAUUUUCUAAAGAAUGCGGUGAACUCCGAGUGCCACACAUAGCUGCUGCCACGCAGAGUGGCCGAAGAGCCCCCGGGAGAAGCCUUGGUAUCAGGCCUCCGGAGCUGCUUCUGUCUUGGGCCCUUGACCAGCCAGGAUGCGGUUGGUGCCCAGUCACCACUCAGUGUGCACCUGAGGCACAGUCACCGGGCAGUUGCCCAGGGGACAGUGCUAACAGGCACAGUGCAGCGCAGCCUCAGGCCUAGACAGAAGUCACGGGGCAAGGAAAAGGCUGAAGUCUUUUUGAAAUUGUGGACAACACAUAGUACGGAAGACCUUCGAGAGUGGAUGGACGAGUUUGAAGUAGAAGAAACACAGACUUCUCUUCCUGAUGAGCCUGUGGACCGCUCUUUGGAAGAAACAGCGGAGAGUUAGAAACACCCACCACCGUCUAAAACAGGUGCCCAGCAGCGCCCAUCUGGCACAGGAGAGCACCGCAUCCCGGCCGCAGCGGUCCGUUUGGGAGAUGGAUUUCUUCCUUUUGUGAAGGAAACGAUGCUCAGGUUCCUUCCCCUCCGCCUUUUCAGAUAGCAAGGCUCCCUCUGUGACCGGAAAUCUCCUGGAUGGGGCUCCACAAGGUGACACCUCUUCGGUUAGUGCCUGUUCUGUUUGCACGAGAUAAUGUUAAAAGCCACCAAUUCUUCAUGUGCAGAAUAAUUUUUGAUAAAAAUAGAAUUAUGAAGCUCUUAGAAACUAGAGCCCAGUGCCCUGGAAGAAUAAAGUCAUAUGAAAUUUGCAGAGUUAGACGUGGUCGUAGUUUUAAGCAGUUUAAAUAAUGUUGAAUGGUGUGAUCUGUCCCUCUGUGGAGUAAUACUUAAUGCACACUUGCUUCAGACUUCUGUGCGUCCUGCUGAGUGCUGGUGUUCCCGAAGGCCAGGCAGUUGUUUUGCAGGUUGGUCCUGGAACCCAGGUCGCUGCCCCACAGAGUGGUGCGCAGGUCCUCCUGCCCUCUGCAGCCCACGGCCCCUGCGCGGUGCCCCCCUCCUGGUGAGGCUGGGGACGCAGCCGUGUCUCCGAGAUGUGCAUGGCCCCUCUGCCUGCUCCGGUCUGCUGUCCUCCGUUCGUGCUCCUGCUCAGUUAGAUCCCACCCCACGUGGGAUGCGUGGUCUCCAGCGCCUUCUCCAAGAAGCUGCCUGCAGUGGCCCCCCAGGUCCGGAGCAGCGUGGUGCACCCACGCGAGGAAGUCGUUCUCACUUGGCUGCCCAGCCCAGGCCCAGCAUCACUCCCCCGCGGCAGGCAGGGCCGGGCCAAGGACGCAG
rnacentral:lncRNA from 1 species